AGAUUGACCCUGCGCCAGGCCUUAACACAAGCAAGUCGGACGGAUGAAGGGACUGCUCCGGGAUCCAACGGCGGACCGGGUGAAUUAAUGCCCUAGGAAUCUGCCUGGUAUGGGGGAUAACCGUCCGGAAACGGGCGCUUAUCCGCAUACGUCCUGAGGGAGAAAUGGGGAUCUUCGGACCUCACGCUAUCAGAUGAGCCUAGGUCGGAUUAGCUAUUGUGGGUAAAGGCCUACCAAGGCGACGAUCCGUAACUGGUCUGAGAGGAUGAUCAGUCACACUGGAACUGAGACACGGUCCAGACUCCUACGGGAGGCACAUGGGGAAUAUUGGACAAUGGGCGAAAGCCUGAUCCAGCCAUGCCGCGUGUUGAAGAAGGUCUUCGGAUUGUAAAGCACUUUAAUUGGGAGGAAGGGCAGUAAGUUAAUACCUUGCUGUUUUGACGUUACCACAGAAUAAGCACCGGCUAACUUCGUGCCAGCAGCCGCGGUAAUACGUAGGUGGCAAGCGUUAUCCGGAAUUAUCGGGCGUAAAGCGCGCGUAGGUGGUUCAGCAAGUUGGAUGUGAAAUCCCCGGGCUCAACCUGGGAACUGCAUCCAAAACUACUGAGCUAGAGUACGGUAGAGGGUGGUGGAAUUUCCUGUGUACGGUGAAAUGCGUAGAUAUAGGAAGGAACACCAGUGGCGAAGGCGACCACCUGGACUGAUACUGACACUGAGGUGCGAAAGCGUGGGGAGCAAACAGGAUUAGAUACCCUGGUAGUCCACGCCGUAAACGAUGUCGACUAGCCGUUGGGAUCCUUGAGAUCUUAGUGGUGCAGCUAACGCGAUAAGUCGACCGCCUGGGGAGUACGCCGCAAGUUUA
rnacentral:rRNA from 1 species